GGGCCCGUAGCUCAACCUGGUUAGAGCGCUGGGCUUUUAAACCAGCGGGUAAAUGUUGCGGGUUCAAAUCCCGUCGGGCCCG
rnacentral:tRNA from 1 species